CCUACGGGGAGCAGCAGUGAGGAAUAUUGGUCAAUGGCCGAGAGGCUGAACCAGCCAAGUCGCGUGAGGGAAGAUGGCCCUACGGGUUGUAAACCUCUUUUGUCGGGGAGCAAAGCGAGUCACGUGUGACUCAUGGAGAGUACCCGAAGAAAAAGCAUCGGCAAACUCCGCGCCCACAGCCGCGGUAAUACGGGGGAUGCGAGCGUUAUCCGGAUUUAUGGGGUUUAAAGGGUGCGCAGGCGGCCUGUUAAGUCAGCGGUAAAAGCCCGGGGCUCAACCCCGGCGAGCCGUUGAACCUGGCGGGCUGGAGUUGGAGAGAAGUACGCGGAAUGCGCGGUGUAGCGGGGAAAUGCUUAGAUAUCGCGCAGAACCCCGAUUGCGAAGGCAGCGUACCGGCUCCACACUGACGCUGAGGCACGAAAGCGUGGGUAUCGAACAGGAUUAGAUACCCCUGUAGUC
rnacentral:rRNA from 1 species